rnacentral:rRNA from 1 species
GAUGAACGCUGGCGGCGUGCCUAACACAUGCAAGUCGAGCGGAUGGACGAGACUCUCGCCUGUCUUCUGUUAGCGACGGACGGGUGAUUAACACGUGGCUAACCGACCUAUAAGACUGGGAUACCUUCGCGAAACCGUAUCUAAUACCGGAUCAUAUUUUGAACCGCAGGGUUCAUAAGUGAACAACGUUCUUGCUGACACUAAGAGAUGGUUCCGGGCUGCAUUAGCUAGUUGGUAAGGUAACGGCCUACCAAGGCAACGAUGCAUAGCCGAUCUGAGAGGGUGAUCAGCCACACUGGAACUGAGACACGGUCCAGACUCCUACGGGAGGCAGCAGUGGGGAAUAUUGCGCAAUGGGCGAAAGCCUGACGCAGCCACGCCGCGUGUGUGAUGAAGGUCUUCGGAUCGUAAAGCUCUUUUAUUAGGGAAGAACAGAAGUGUAAUUAACUCUGGAUGUCUUGACGGUACCUAAAGAGAAAGCACCGGCUAACUACGUG